UGGAGAAGAGAUGAGGCCUGGAUUGAGCCCUGGUCGCCUGACUCCAGAACCCACGUUCUGAAAUUCUCCGCACUUUUACUCCAGGUGCAGCCUGGUACGCACUUAGAGAAAACCUGGAUGGAGAAGAUUAAGAAACUGAAGCUCAAAGGGGGACUUGACUUGUCUAAAAUCACACGGCAAGGAAUUGGUGGAGCUGGGAUUGGAACCCAGGCAUACUUGACUCCAGAGUUGUUUAACCAGAACCACACACCUGACCCCGCCAGCUGACCACAGAAUUGUUCACAAUAGCCAAAAGAAGGAAGCAACUCACGUAUCUAUUGAUGGAUGAAUGGAUAAGCAAAAUGUGGUGUAGACAUGCAAUGGACUAUUAUUCGGCCUUAAAAAGAAAGGAAAUUCUGACAGUUGCUACAACAUGGAUGAACCUUGCACACAUUGUGCUAAGUCAGCCCCACGGAUCCAUUUAAUUAUGUAUGGGUUGAAUGAAUGAAUGCAGUAAUCAAGUGACAGUCCAUCAGUGUCUGCUUUCAGAGCCACUAGUACUACAUGACCACAGUCAUUGCCACAGUUGGAAUGGGGAUGAAGACUCCUCACUGGGCUCCUGCAUGGAUAUGUCUGGGUUUAAUGGGCUGUAUUCUAAUUUGUGAUUCUUUCAUAAAGCGUCCC